AAUAGAUACCCGGGUAGUCCACGCCCUAAACGAUGUCAACUGGUUGUUGGGUCUUAACUGACUCAGUAACGAAGCUAACGCGUGAAGUUGACCGCCUGGGGAGUACGGCCGCAAGGUCGAAACUCAAAGGAAUUGACGGGGACCCGCACAAGCGGUGGAUGAUGUGGUUUAAUUCGAUGCAACGCGAAAAACCUUACCCACCUUUGACAUGGCAGGAACUUACCAGAGAUGGUUUGGUGCUCGAAAGAGAACCUGCACACAGGUGCUGCAUGGCUGUCGUCAGCUCGUGUCGUGAGAUGUUGGGUUAAGUCCCGCAACGAGCGCAACCCUUGCCAUUAGUUGCUACAUUCAGUUGAGCACUCUAAUGGGACUGCCGGUGACAAACCGGAGGAAGGUGGGGAUGACGUCAAGUCCUCAUGGCCCUUAUAGGUGGGGCUACACACGUCAUACAAUGGUUGGUACAAAGGGUUGCCAACCCGCGAGGGGAGCUAAUCCCAUAAAGCCAGUCGUAGUCCGGAUCGCAGUCUGCAACUCGA
rnacentral:rRNA from 1 species